rnacentral:rRNA from 1 species
CCUACGGGAGGCAGCAGUCGAGAAUCAUUCACAAUGGGGGAAACCCUGAUGGUGCGACGCCGCGUGGGGGAAUGAAGGUCUUCGGAUUGUAAACCCCUGUCAUGAGGGAGCAAAUUAAAAAGAUAGUACCACAAGAGGAAGAGACGGCUAACUCUGUGCCAGCAGCCGCGGUAAUACAGAGGUCUCAAGCGUUGUUCGGAUUCACUGGGCGUAAAGCGUGCGUAGGCGGUUUCGUAAGUCGGGUGUGAAAGGCGCGGGCUCAACCCGCGGACGGCACAUGAUACUGGGAGACUAGAGUAAUGGAGAGGGAAGCGGAAUUCGCGGUGUAGCAGUGAAAUGCGUAGAUAUCGCGAAGAACACUGGUGGCGAAGGCAGGUUCCUGGACAUUAACUGACGCUGAGGCACGAAGGCCAGGGUAGCGAAAGGGAUUAGAUACCCCUGUAGUC